UGGGGAAUUUUGGACAAUGGGCGCAAGCCUGAUCCAGCCAUGCCGCGUGCAGGAUGAAGGCCCUCGGGUUGUAAACUGCUUUUGUACGGAACGAAAAGCCUCUUUCUAAUAAAGAGGGGUGAUGACGGUACCGUAAGAAUAAGCACCGGCUAACUACGUGCCAGCAGCCGCGGUAAUACGUAGGGUGCGAGCGUUAAUCGGAAUUACUGGACGUAAAGCGUGCGCAGGCGGUUCGGAAAGAAAGGUGUGAAAUCCCAGGGCUUAACCUUGGAACUGCACUUUUAACUACCGGGCUAGAGUACGUCAGAGGGGGGUAGAAUUCCACGUGUAGCAGUGAAAUGCGUAGAGAUGUGGAGGAAUACCGAUGGCGAAGGCAGCCCCCUGGGAUGAUACUGACGCUCAUGCACGAAAGCGUGGGGAGCAAACA
rnacentral:rRNA from 1 species